rnacentral:tRNA from 1 species
GGAGCGUUAGCUCAGCUGGUUCAGAGCACUACCUUGACAGGGUAGGGGUCACUGGUUCGAACCCAGUACGCUUCA